rnacentral:lncRNA from 7 species
AACAGAAUAGUGACUGGAACUGAAGAAGGAAGCUGGGGUCUGCUGAAGCUUUGAGGGCCACGUGGGAGUGAUUCAUUCAGCUGCAAUUUGCACACAGCACAUGGUGAAGGUUUUCCAAUAAAUUUUUCUGCCACAGAACUCCGGGUAAAGUUCUCUGCUGUGCUAUCAUCUGACCUGUAGCAUGAUGGAGGAGUCUGGAGCUGCUUGUAGUUCAUGUCCCAUGUGAAGCCACCCUUGCAAGGCAGUGCUCGGCUCAGUGUGCCCUUCUCUCCAAUCCUGGAUGAUCAGCCUGGCUCAGCUGCUGGCAAUGCGAGCAGAAAGACUUUUCCUUCUCCUGUGUAACUUAUUAUAUGAAAUAGUUUCUCGGGAGAACAGAAUUGAAGCUAGAUUUCCUCAAGCCCACGUGCCAGAAUGGUCAGCUGCCCAGUGGUCCAUGUAUUGGUGAGUGAUGAAGUCAAGCAUGGUUAUUUCAAUUGCAAAUGGAUGGCUUUGCAGUAGUAAUGCUGCUCUCUCCCACUUUUGGUUUAAAAUUGGAAAAGAAUGAAUUUUCUUCUAAUUACCACUCUGAAACGAGUACUGAUGUCUCACUUAUAGAGAAACAUCCCUGUUUUCAGACUAGUCCUAUAUUUCAAGUCUUGUGUCUGAAUUUUUUUCUGACCCUAAAAUUCUGAUGAACUUUCCAAAUGUCUCUUUUGCAGUGUUCUUAAAACAACAACAUCAACAACAAUAAACAGGCUGAAUUUCAGGAGAAUUUUCAUUGCUACUUUGCUGAGAAAGAACUGUUCUACAUGGGAAUUUUUUUGGUAAACUCUCACUUCACUUCUUCAUUAAUUUGAUAGUUGUGGUUUCUUACCAAAAAAAAAAAAAAAAAAAAAAAAAAAAGAGACUUGUGUGGAUGAGCUGAUUUUCUUUGCUCCUCUCUUACAGCACCUUCUCUCAAAUAACUGUGGAGCCAAUUGGUCAAUUUCAGUCAAGAUUUACGCUGCAAUACUGCUAAGGAGCCUUUUGGUAGCGUGUGCUUGGGUCACUGCAGUGUAAUGGCAGCUGUCAAAUGUACUUUAAAGAGGACCAAAGAAUGUAUCUACCUUGGGGUGGCUAAGUUAGCCGGAACUGACAAUCAAAUGUUGAAUAAUUAAAUUGUUUUAGCUAUUAAUUGUAAGUGAAUGUUGUUUUUAAUUGCACUUUAAUAAUGCCAUGCCCUUUAUAGCCAAAAUUAAUGUUUUCUCUCUCUCUGUUUUUGAAGUACAUGUCAGUUUAAUUAAACUAUUAAUGGUAGACAGAUUUUUAAGUACUUUAUAUUCUUCAUUAAAUUGUAUCUGUUCAACAAGCAUAAACAGGAAAAUAGACUCAGUUAGAAGCAGAUUCACGUUCUGCCUGAUAAAUCAUUCAUCAUCAGAUAAGAUGAUGAGGCAUGCUUGUUUUUCUGUAGGCUCACAAUGAUAAACAAAUCCACUUUGAAAUUAUAAUAUUUAUUGAGUUUGUAGCAAAAUAAACAAGACUGUUUUUUAAU